AUUGAACGCUGGCGGCAUGCCUAACACAUGCAAGUCGAACGGCAGCACAGUCGUGGCAACACGAUGGGUGGCGAGUGGCGGACGGGUGAGGAAUGCAUCGGAAUCUGCCCGAUCGUGGGGGAUAACGCAUCGAAAGGUGCGCUAAUACCGCAUGAGAUCGAGAGAUGAAAGCGGGGGACCGAAAGGCCUCGCGCGAUCGGAUGAGCCGAUGCCGGAUUAGCUAGUUGGAGGGGUAAGAGCCCACCAAGGCGACGAUCCGUAGCUGGGCUGAGAGGAUGAUCAGCCACACUGGGACUGAGACACGGCCCAGGCUCCUACGGGAGGCAGCAGUGGGGAAUAUUGGACAAUGGGCGCAAGCCUGAUCCAGCAAUGCCGCGUGUGUGAAGAAGGCCUUCGGGUUGUAAAGCACUUUUAUCGGGAGCGAAAAGCGGACGGUGAAUACCCGUCCGUGCUGACGGUACCCGAGGAAUAAGCACCGGCUAACUUCGUGCCAGCCGCCGCGGUAACAC
rnacentral:rRNA from 1 species